CUGUCUUUAACAUCUCAUGACUUUAGCCUCAAUUUGUUCUUGGUUUGAAACCAAGAAUGUGACUGCUAUUUCGUCCAAACAAUUUCACCCUUUAGCCAAAAAUAUUUCGAUAGAAAUUUCAAAAGGCCACCACAAUUUCGUUCAAAAUUUCAAAGGGAUUCAGGCAGAAUUUCGUUCAACACAGUUCACGGAAGCAGAAGCUUCAUUCCGUUCAAAUAACUCCAGGAACAGGUAUGUUAAGGCUAUCCCUUCUUUCUUUUGGCAUGGUCCAAAUUAUACUAAAGAAACGAGCAAAUACAUAGUUUUCUAUAAAUUAUUCUAUUCACAAAAAUAGUAGGGGUGUCUAUAUUCUUGAUUCCCCAUGAGAAUUAUUAUUAUCUUCUGUUCAUGGGUCUCAGAAUAAUAUGUAGUUGAAAUAGUUUAUCCGAAAGGAAUAUUAAGAUUAUUAUGUAUUUUCAUGCAUUUCACCCAUUUAUACAUGUGUAUGGACCCAUGAUCAGAUGGCGUUAUAUAAACAUAUAUAUGUAUAUUAUAUUUAUAUGGGAUACGGGAAAAAGGUUACGGCGUUAUAUACGCACCACUACCUGAUCAGCUGGUAUAUGAUGAUGAUGUUGCCCAUAGUGCCUGAAAUAUGAUUCAAACGGCGUUAUAUACGUGUAUAUAUGUAUGUAUAUAUAUAUAUGUAUAUGGGAUAUGGGAAAGAUUAUAGCGUUAUAUACGCACCACCACCUGAUCAGCUGGUAUACGAUGAUGAUGUUGCCCGCUGUGGCCAAUAUGAUAUGAUGGGAUGCCCUCAAAGGUUGAUGAUGUUAUGAAACAUAUACCUAUGCACGACAUGACAUUCAUACGUAAAUGCAUGACGCUAAAAGUAAUUUAUGAUUUACAAAGUUAUUUAGACUUAUAAGUUCAGUCAUGUACUCUAUAUUUCUCUCAUGUCUCUUAUGUACUUACUUAUGUGCCUUACAUACUCGGUACAUUAUUCGUACUUACGUCCCUUUUGCCUGGGGAUGCUGNNNNNNNNNNNNNNNNNNNNNNNNNAGUAUGAUUUAGAUGUGUAUUGUUUGGUAUGGCGGGACUCUAUCCCGACCUUUAUGAUAUUUAUGUACUCUUAGAGGCUUGUAGACAUAUGUCAUAUAUGUGAAAGAUUGUACCACCUUGUCGGCCUAUGUUUUGAGUUUAUAAAUGAUUAUGUUGGCCUAUUAGGCCUGUAUGUCACGUGUAUGUGAUGAUGUAAUAAGAAAGAUACGUUACAUUGGCACUCGGUCGAGUAAGGUACCGGGUGCCCGUCGCGGCUCAUCGGUUUGGGUCGUGACAAAAGUGGUAUCAGAGCAGUUCAGUCCUAGGGAGUCUACAAGCCAUGUCUAGUAGUCUUAUUUAUGGGUAUGUCGUGCACCACACUUAUAAGCAGGAGGCUAUAGGGCAUUUGGGAUUGUCACUAUUUCUUCUUACUCUAGAUCAAGUGGUAGAGCUCACUUAUAAGAAUUCAAAUUUCGAAAUUCUAUUUUGUUCAUAAUCAAACGAUGCCUACAUUCAGAAAGACGGUCGAUAAGGGAUAUAACUGUGGAAGUGUUGAGUUAGAGGAACUCGAUUUUGCAUCUUGAUUAUGAUGAAUAAAUGUGAGGUCUUCGACAAAUCAUGCGUGUACUAAAAGGUGUAAGGUUCUUGAUAAGGAGCCUUAAGGAAAGAAUACUUAUCCACUCUUACGGUAAAAAGGAAUAACAGAAUCGAAAGUUAGACACAAGUUUCAGCAAGUAAAAGAAGCAAGGUGAAGAAAGGUACGAGGUACCUAGUUAAUAAAGAUUAUCAUUAUUUAUCAUUUACUAUUUUAGAGUGCACCAUCUAUUUUCACUCGGUAUAAGCAUUUUGAGUUACCUUUAACAAUAACAGAUGUACGUACAAUCGGCCACACCUAUCUUAGUCAUGCCCUAUGAGAGCUAACAGAUAUGGUUUAAGAGAAGGAUAUGAUAGCAUGAUCCGGGUGGGGUUAGAGUAACCAAAAUGAUGGAUGGAUAGUUUGCGCUAAUUUACAUUUCGAAAGGAUAUUAAAAAGGUGAAAAUAGAUCUCCUUAUGAGAUACCUAGAUGGUGCACUCUAAAAUAGUACAGCUAUACAUGAGUACUACAAAGGCAGGCACUGAAAGCCUGAAAAGGAUAAAUAUUAUCUCAGUAUGGCUCCCGUCCCUAGUAGAGAGAUAAUGCUAGGCAACCCAAAGAGCUAGUGGAUGGUGCAGAGGGGAACUAAAAGCAAAAGAAUAUCUUGUUGAAGUAUUCAGAAUAAAGUGAUAAACAGAAAUGUUAGCAGGAAAUAAGAAGAGAGCUAAUGAAGCAUUAAGAGUAAGAUGUGAUACAUGGAUGACAAUGGUAGGCCAAAAAGAUGACAGUAUUCCAGAGUUCAUAGUCAAGUGAAGGAAAAGACGAGAAGUGACAGGCCUUGAGGUAACAAAAGAAUAUAGGCCAUAAAGUCGUAUCCUCACUUCGAGAAACAAGUUCACGACGCUAAAGUGAUUCAGAAGAAAAAGUUAGACCGUAGAGUAAUAGAAGUCAGCUUGGAAUGGUGGAAAAAGAUAAACUAAACAUGAAUUAGGGACUGAGUGAUUUGAUGGUGGUCGGCAUCAUGAGAACUUCAUAUUGCGUUCCGGCGAUAAUAGAAUGGACCAUAGAGGAAGAUUCAUGAGAAAUUCAGAGAAUGGUUAUUCAGGAAGACGCUUCCCUAAAGCAAGCAAUGUGAGCAAAGUUAAGCUUAAGGGAUUGUAUGUGCCAGUUACACUAAGUAUCACCCUCGUGAGUGAGGAAUUUUGUUAUCUUUGAUACAGAAGGAUUGCCGCAAGGCGAGUAAGGGUCAUCGAUGAUGUGAAAAGACGCCAAAGAUGAAGAGGUAACACAUCUAUAGGUAGAUCCUCGUGGCUUCAACUCUUAGUACUCCCCUAAAGGGGGGAAUGUGGAGUGAUGUGGUGUUAAGUCAGAAUUAAGUGGUUCUAGUAGCUACGAAUUGGUAAAGAAAAAAUGCAAUAAAAAUAAGAAAGAGAUGAGAUUGCACUAUUCAAAACCUACAGAUAGACUACGAUCCCAGAACAUUAUGAAAACACGACGUCAAGGAGAAGAAGUGAGGCCUUCCUGCCUGGAAUGUUAUAGAUAAAUAAGGAGCUAGUGCGAGACGUAAGUUAAGACAAAGUAAAUAACCCAAGAAAGAUUAUGUGGAAUAUUUAUGUGAUAAUGGACCAACGAGUAGUUAGCAGUUGAUUAAGGAUGAGCCUAGUUACGGCUAGACAGGAGGUUACAGACAAAUCAAUAGAUCGUGCAAGAUAAACAUAGUAAAACCCAAUAUAUUGAAUUUAGCUUCACAGUAAUGUUAUUGUAAUACUUGAAAUAUAUUCAGAUAGGAGUCAAGGUAGUUAAAGGUACCGUAUGAAUGUUACGGGAAUAAAAGAGAGUGUCACUGGGGAGACAGUUAAAAUAUCAGUUCAGAAGCAACCCUACAAGCACAAAGGCACGGAGGUAAGCAACUAUGGAUAAUUAUAGGCAAGGAAGGACAUCAAAAGGUUCAUAAUAAGCUCACAACUUUAUAGGAAUCAAGGGUUCUCCCUAAGUACUAUAACGAAAUACUUGCUGAGGAAAUAAGGAAGAAGGCUUCAACCUAAGCACAAUGACCUAAAAAGGAAAGGGUCGUGUAACAACAGUCUCACAACAACAUUGUAAGCACUCCAAAGGAAAGUGGCCCCUACCGUGGAUAAUGAACGAGAAGAAAAAUUAAAAGUAAUAUUCAAAAGUCGUAUGAGUUGCACGAAAAGUCUAGCAUGCGUGAGAACUAAGAUAAGCUACGUAUGCACGCAACAAGGGGGCAGAAAGACCAGGAAAGGUAAUAGCUUACAUUGAAGAAAGCUAAGAAGAAACGAAAGAGAUUAUUCGAUCAAUGGUCCCAAGUUGGUAACGUUAUGAACGCACUUAAGAGUUUGGAGUUUUAUACAUGCAUCAUAUACAGCCGUAGAAGAUUCUGGUAUAUGUUAAAAGAAAGAAUUUAGCUCAGGUCAUAGAUGAAGGAUUGAAUUGUUAAAGGAUUUUAUCAUAAAUAUCCCUCAGCGCCUAUGAAAGGCUAAAGUAAUAGCUAAUACCAGAAGCCGCAGGUCGGAAGAUAUCUUAAGCCUACAUAGAGGCUGAUCAGAAAGAAGAGGAGACUAAAGAGUUACAUCGACUAAGCAAAAAAGGAGGGACCAAGAGAAUUAUAGACCUCAGGAUCACUCUUAAGUAGCAGAGGUAUAAGAAAGAUAGUGCAGUAGCCAUAUUUUAUAAUAGCUUUAUGAUGAAGCCAACUGAAGAGUACCAUCCUCAUAAGAAGUCAGUACGAAGCUCCCACCGGAUUGUGUAUGCACCAGAGGUGUAAGAAUUAUAAUAGAGCUUCAAGUUAUGGACGUGAAUUAUACCUAUGUAGAAGGGAGGUCAUGAAAGAGAUAGAAGAUACAAUGCGAGAUUUUAAGGUAAGUAAGGUAAAGGUGAACAGGGUACGAGAUACUCAAAGGUAGAAUAUGUGAAUAGUCCAUACUUCGGAUAAAAGGCUAGAAAUGCUAGGAUUCAAUAUCCAAGAAUGAUAGUGGCAUAGUCAGUGGCAUAUCUCAUAGCCUAUGGUUUCUAGGUAUCGAGGAGGCUAAUUAAGACAGUAAAGAAGAGUUAGAGACAAUGUGAUGUCUCGCUUGAUGUCCCAUAAUGACAUAAGAAAAUCUAUGAUGCAAGCAAGUUGAAAGGUUGCAAGUAAUAUAAAUAGAGUUGUGUAGGUCGCAAGCCAUUGUAUGGUGAAGCGACAAGGUUCUAGAAGACAAGAGUAAGGAUAAGAAAGGGCGAGUGAGAAGGUAAUAAAAAUGGAUAAGUCCUCAGGAUUAAGCCCAUGAAAACAAGAAGAGUAGAUGGUUUCUCUAAAUUAUACAAAGCUCACUAUAGCCUGAAUGAACUCAAAUGAGUCUAAAACUAUUAGCAUUGAGAAUGCCACCCUGGUAAUAGAUUGGGGGUGUAAUUGUGAUAGAUAAAAGAUGACAUUUGGGCCUUCAAUUGAGUAAUGAUUCAACGAAGAAAAGAAACGGAUCUUAUGAAAUUGGACAGGAUUAAAGUACCCAUGCAAGGUGAAUCGCAUUGGGAUGCUGUGAGGUACAGCUAUGAAAGCAGGGUAUCGCCCCAGGUGGAUCAAUCUAAUCAUUUCAGAUGUUCCCCAAUAAAACGUGAAUCCUAGCAGCAAUAUUACAUAAAAGGUUAAAUUAUCAGUGGUAUAUUGUAGAUCAAUAUUGAGGUGAAUCAAUAAUGGAUGGACAAAAGUUACAAAGUAUGAGAUAAGAUUAGGCCGUCAUUCUAAGGAUGAACAGUAAUGAGGAAGCAUUAAAGGACUUAAAUUUAUACAUAUGGAAUGAGAAACGAGAGUAAGCUGGGAUUUGGUAGCAGACCUCAGCAAUAAUAAAUUAAAGUAAGAGUUAUGGAAGUAAAUUCAUACGAAUGGUUAAACAGACCUAUGCGAUGAGAUAUAACAAUAUUUGUGAAUUCAACCAAGUACCGGGCGAAGAACUUCAGUAUACUCAUAAAUACCCAAAGGGACAUCUUAUCAAGCUCUACAUGUGAAGCCUAGAGAUUGAAGACACUUAUGAGAUCAAAACUAUACAGGUUGCAUGCUGAAAGGUAGCAAUAGUUACAAGAUUGGAAGGAUUCCGACUACAAGUUAUAGUGUGAGAAGGAGGCCUAAGGGGGGAUGCCCUAGACUUUGAACUUAUUCACAGAACAGUCGCCUAGAUGGAAAGGAAAGUUCUAAAGUAUUCGGAAGAUAUAAGUUAUGAAAAUGAUAAGAGCAUUAGACAACAUUCAAGUACGAAUGUUCCAAAGGGGGGAAUGAUGUUACACCCCGCAAUAUUACAUCAAUAUUACGUCCUGCAGUAUUAUAUUACGACAAUGUUACCCUCUGCAGUAAUAUAUUACGAUGAUGUUAUGUCCAAUAGUAUUAAGUUACGAUAGUGUUCUACCGAGCAGUAUUACAUUACGGUGAUGCUACGCUUCGCAGUAAUAAGUUACGACAGUGUUGCACCUUGUAGUAUUGUACGUUGAAUUUUACGUAAGGUAAUUGACAUCAGUCCAAGGAAAAGAUUAUUUGGAGAUUAUAAGGAUUGUAAGUGAUGAAUAAAUUCGUGAAGGUGAGCGGGGAAGCAAGUCGAAGAAAAUGAAUUUCGUUGAAAUUUGGUAUUUUGGAAUAAAAUACGGCUCAAGCUAAAAUACUCGAUAUUUAUGAACUAGUACCAUACAAGGUACCGCAUGACCAUAAUAGUAAGGCGUAUAAGGUAUGUGAAAAAUGAGUAAUAUUUCAAGUAAGUGAGAAUAAUUCUCAAAUUUUCGGGUAAUUGGUUAAUUACCGGGUAACGGGACAUUACCCGAUUAACUAAGUGGGUAAAAUUUAAUAAACUAACCACCCCACCCACGUGGCACAAGGCCACUAAUUAAAAAGGAUAACUCAUAAACAAUUGAAAUAAGUGUCUAAUCUUAUCCCUACAAGGAAUCUGAUAAACCCACUAAUAUGAUACAUCAAAUUAAUAUCAAGUCCAUUAAAAACCAAGAAAACGGAAGCAAACUUCAUUCUUGGCUGUCUUUAACAUCUCAUGACUUUAGCUUCAAUUUGUUCUUGGUUUGAAACCAAGAAUGUGACUGCUAUUUUGUCCAAACAAUUCCACCCUUUAGCCAAAAAUAUUUCUAUAGAAAUUUCAAAAGGCCACCACAAUUUCGUUCAAAAUUUAAAAGGGAUUCAGGCAGAAUUUCAUUCAACACAGUUCACGGAAGCAGAAGCUUCACUCCGUUCAAAUAACUCCAGGAACAGGUAUGUUAAGGCUAUCCCUUCUUUCUUUUGGCAUGGUCCAAAUUAUACUAAAG
rnacentral:lncRNA from 1 species